CACGUAGGGGGCAAGCGUUGUCCGGAAUCAUUGGGCGUAAAGCGCGUGUAGGCGGCUCGGUAAGUCCGCUGUAAAAGUCCAGGGCUCAACCCUGGAAAGCCGGUGGAAACUGUCGAGCUAGAGUCCGGAAGAGGCGAGUGGAAUUCCUGGUGUAGCGGUGAAAUGCGCAGAUAUCAGGAGGAACACCAAUGGCGAAGGCAGCUCGCUGGGACGGUACUGACGCUGAGACGCGAAAGCGUGGGGAGCAAACAGG
rnacentral:rRNA from 1 species